GAUGAACGCUGGCGGCGUGCCUAAUACAUGCAAGUCGAGCGAACGGACGAGAAGCUUGCUUCUCUGAUGUUAGCGGCGGACGGGUGAGUAACACGUGGAUAACCUACCUAUAAGACUGGGAUAACUUCGGGAAACCGUAGCUAAUACCGGAUAAUAUUUUGAACCGCAUGGUUCAAAAGUGAAAGACGGUCUUGCUGUCACUUAUAGAUGGAUCCGCGCUGCGUUAGCUAGUUGGUAAGGUAACGGCUUACCAAGGCAACGAUGCAUAGCCGACCUGAGAGGGUGAUCGGCCACACUGGAACUGAGACACGGUCCAGACUCCUACAGGAGGCAGCAGUAGGGAAUCUUCCGCAAUGGGCGAAAGCCUGACGGAGCAACGCCGCGUGAGUGAUGAAGGUCUUCGGAUCGUAAAACUCUGUUAUUAGGGAAGAACAUAUGUGUAAGUAACUGUGCACAUCUUGACGGUACCUAAUCAGAAAGCCACGGCUAACUACGUG
rnacentral:rRNA from 1 species